rnacentral:rRNA from 1 species
UAUUGCACAAUGGAGGAAACUCUGAUGCAGCAACGCCGCGUGGAGGAUGACGCAUUUCGGUGUGUAAACUCCUUUUAAGAGGGAAGAWUAUGACGGUACCUCUUGAAUAAGCACCGGCUAACUCCGUGCCAGCAGCCGCGGUAAUA